AUGACUUUGAUCUCCGUCCUCAUCUGGACUCUCCUCUGCUGCUGCUUCACAGAGUCCAGAGGCCAGGUCACAGUGACUCAGUCUGCAGCAGUGACAUCUGCUCUGGGAGGCUCCACAACCAUCAACUGUAAAACUAAUCCUGCUGUGUACAAAUAUUAUGGUUCUUUAGACUCCUUAGCCUGGUACCAACAGAAAGAUGGAGAAGCUCCUAAAGUCCUCAUUUACUGGGCUACCACUCGAGCAUCAGGGAUUCCAGAUCGUUUUUCAGGCAGCGGAUCAAACUCUGACUUCACUCUGACCAUCAGUGGAGUUCAGGCUGAAGAUUCAGCAGUUUAUUACUGUCAGAGUCUCCACUAUCCCAACAGUCAACUUGUGUUCACACAGUGA